rnacentral:sRNA from 1 species
UAUUAAUCCCUGAAACGUCAUACUUUUUUUCAACCUAACGUAAUAACUUCAUUUUGUUAUAAAUUUGAUUUUGUGCCCUCUAAUAAACCAAGUUUUUU